GUAACAGGCCAGGUUGAAAGAAGAAAUCCAGAGCCCCAGGAGGGAAGACUCCAGGGAAAGAGGAGAGACUGAUAGAUGCUAUGAGCAAAACAGCCCUUGAGAGAUUGCAGAAAGCCAUCAACCUUGAAGAUAACAGGAGCCCUCCCAAGGAAUGUGUUCAGGAGACCUUCUAAGACCAUGCCAUUUCCUGGGUCCCUCUCCCAGUAGGGAAAUUCUCCCAGUAGCAGAUUCUGGCAGACAGCAGAGACACACUCUAUGCCAAACACUAGGCACCGGAUGGAUGAGAUAAUCAUAAAUCCACAAACUGCAAUAAGAUAAAAUUAUCAUUAGAUGAAGUUAAAUUAUUAAUUAGCACCUCCAAAAAAAGACCGGCACCAC
rnacentral:lncRNA from 1 species